rnacentral:rRNA from 1 species
UGGGGAAUAUUGCACAAUGGGCGCAAGCCUGAUGCAGCCAUGCCGCGUGUGUGAAGAAGGCCUUCGGGUUGUAAAGCACUUUCAGCGAGGAGGAAGGUGGUGAACUUAAUACGUUCAUCAAUUGACGUUACUCGCAGAAGAAGCACCGGCUAACUCCGUGCCAGCAGCCGCGGUAAUACGGAGGGUGCAAGCGUUAAUCGGAAUUACUGGGCGUAAAGCGCACGCAGGCGGUUUGUUAAGUCAGAUGUGAAAUCCCCGGGCUCAACCUGGGAACUGCAUUUGAAACUGGCAAGCUAGAGUCUCGUAGAGGGGGGUAGAAUUCCAGGUGUAGCGGUGAAAUGCGUAGAGAUCUGGAGGAAUACCGGUGGCGAAGGCGGCCCCCUGGACGAAGACUGACGCUCAGGUGCGAAAGCGUGGGGAGCAAACAGAUUAGAUACCCUGGUAGUCCACGCUGUAAACGAUGUCGAUUUUGGAGGUUGUGCCCUUGAGGCGUGGCUUCCGGAGCUAACGCGUUAAAUCGACCGCCUGGGGAGUACGGCCGCAAGGUUAAAACUUAAAGG